AUUGAACGCUGGAGGCAGGCCUAACACAUGCACGUCGAGCGGAGCGGCGGACGGGUGAGUAAUGCCUAGGACUCUGCCUGGUAGUGGGGGAUAACGUCCGGAAACGGGCGCUCAUACCGCAUACUCUCAGAGAAGCCUAGGUCCGAUUAGCUAGUUGGUGGGGGGAAGCCCUACCCGGGCGACGAUCACUAACUGGUCUGAGAGGAUGAUCAGUCACACUGGAACUGAGACACGGUCCAGACGCCUACGGGAGGCAGCAGUGGGAAAGAUUGGACAAGGGGCGAAAGCCUGAUCCAGCCAUGCCGCGUGUGUGAAGAAGGUCUUCGGAUUGUAAAGCACUUUAAGUUGGGAGGCGUUACCAACAGAAUAAGCACCGGCUAACUUCGUGCCAGCAGCCGCGGUAAUUC
rnacentral:rRNA from 1 species